rnacentral:rRNA from 1 species
CAAUAGCGUAUAUUAAAGUUGUUGCAGUUAAAAAGCUCGUAGUUGGAUUUCUGCUGAGGACGAUCGGUCCGCCCACUGGGUGAGUAUCUGGCUCGGCCUUGGCAUCUUCUUGGAGAACGUUGCUGCACUUGACUGUGUGGCGCGGUAUCCAGGACUUUUACUUUGAGGAAAUUAGAGUGUUUCAAGCAGGCGCACGCCUUGAAUACAUUAGCAUGGAAUAAUGAGAUAGGACCUUGGUUCUAUUUUGUUGGUUUCUAGAGCUGAGGUAAUGAUUAAUAGGGAUAGUUGGGGGCAUUCGUAUUUAACUGUCAGAGGUGAAAUUCUUGGAUUUGUUAAAGACGGACUACUGCGAAAACAUUUGCCAAGGAUGUUUUCAUUGA